UAAGGUCACGGCGAGACUAGCCGUUUUAUUAAUGAUAGGUGUCAAGUGGAAGUGCAGUAAUGUAUGCAGCUGAGGCAUCCUAACAGACCGAUAGACUUGAAC
rnacentral:rRNA from 1 species